AUAUGAUAACAUUAUGCAAAUAUAUUAGGGGCCAGUACAAACCAUUAUCUGGAAAUCUAUUCAUAAACAGGGCUAUACAUACGACACAAGGUCGCACAUUUUAACUGCAAGAAAGGAGAUUUCAUCUAAUGCAAAGAAAAGGGUUUUUUUUACAGUAAGAGCAAUAAGGAUAUGGAAUUCUUUGCCUGAAGAGGUGGUUUUAUCAGAGUCCAUACAGAUAUUUAAACUACAAUUGGAUAAAUACUUGCAAAAACAUAAC